rnacentral:rRNA from 1 species
UACGUAGGGGGCAAGCGUUGUCCGGAUUCAUUGGGCGUAAAGAGCGUGUAGGCGGCCAGGUAGGUCGGUUGUGAAAACUGGAGGCUCAACCUUCAGAGGUCGACCGAAAACCAUCUGGCUAGAGUCCGGGAGAGGAGAGUGGAAUUCCUGGUGUAGCGGUGAAAUGCGCAGAUAUCAGGAAGGAACACCCGGUGGCGAAGGCGGUCACUGGUAGGC